AGUGAACGCUGGCGGUAGGCCUAACACAUGCAAGUCGAACGGCAGCACAGUAAGAGCUUGCUCUUACGGGUGGCGAGUGGCGGGCGGGUGAGGAAUACAUCGGAAUCUACUUUUUCGUGGGGGAUAACGUAGGGAAACUUACGCUAAUACCGCAUACGACCUACGGGUGAAAGCAGGGGAUCUUCGGACCUUGCGCGAUUGAAUGAGCCGAUGUCGGAUUAGCUAGUUGGCGGGGUAAAGGCCCACCAAGGCGACGAUCCGUAGCUGGUCUGAGAGGAUGAUCAGCCACACUGGAACUGAGACACGGUCCAGACUCCUACGGGAGGCAGCAGUGGGGAAUAUUGGACAAUGGGCGCAAGCCUAAUCCAGCCAUACCGCGUGGGUGAAGAAGGCCUUCGGGUUGUAAAGCCCUUUUGUUGGGAAAGAAAAGCAGCAGGUUAAUACCCCGCUGUUCUGACGGUACCCAAAGAAUAAGCACCGGCUAACUUCGUG
rnacentral:rRNA from 1 species